AGUGAACGCUGGCGGCAGGCCUAACACAUGCAAGUCGAGCGGCAGCGCGGGGGCAACCCUGGCGGCGAGCGGCGGACGGGUGAGGAAUUCGUCGGAAUCUGCCUUUUUGUGGGGGAUAACGUAGGGAAACUUACGCUAAUACCGCAUACGUCCUACGGGAGAAAGUGGGGGACCGCAAGGCCUCACGCAGAAAGAUGAGCCGACGACCGAUUAGCUAGUUGGUGGGGUAAAGGCCCACCAAGGCGACGAUCGGUAGCUGGUCUGAGAGGAUGAUCAGCCACACUGGGACUGAGACACGGCCCAGACUCCUACGGGAGGCAGCAGUGGGGAAUAUUGGACAAUGGGCGCAAGCCUGAUCCAGCCAUGCCGCGUGUGUGAAGAAAGCCUUCGGGUUGUAAAGCACUUUUGUCCGGAAAGAAAUCCCUGGAGCUAAUACCUUCGGGGGAUGACGGUACCGGAAGAAUAAGCACCGGCUAACUUCGUG
rnacentral:rRNA from 1 species